rnacentral:rRNA from 1 species
UUGUGGUUAAAAAGCUCGUAGUUGGAUCUCGGCGGACUGAGGGCGGUUUGCUUGCUAGUAUUACUGCCCUAUAGUCCGUAGUUUUGCCAGAGGUUUCGGGGUGCUCUUAAUCGAGUGUCCCGGGAUGCUGGCAGGUUUACUUUGAAAAAAUUAGAGUGCUCAAAGCAGGCUAUUACGCCUGAAUAUUCGUGCAUGGAAUAAUAGAAUAGGAAGUCGUUUCUAUUUUGUUGGUUUUCGGAAAUCGACUUAAUGAUUAAUAGGGACAGUCGGGGGCAUUUGUAUUCAAACGACAGAGGUGAAAUUCUUGGACCGUUUGAAGACAAACUACUGCGAAAGCAUUUGCCAAGAAUGUUUUCAUUAAUCAAGAACGAAAGUUAAAGGUUCGAAGGCGAUUAGAUACCGCCCUAGUUUUAACCAUAAACGAUGCCAGCUAGCGAUCUGCGGACGUUUUUUUUGUAGACUCCGCAGGAAGCUUCCGGGAAACCAAAGCAUUUGGGUUCCAGGGGAAGUAUGGUUGCAAAGCUGAAACUUAAAGGAAUUGACGGAAGGGCACCACCAGGAGUGGAGCCUGUGGCUUAAUUUGACUCAACACGGGAAAUCUCACCAGGCCCGGACACUGGAAGGAUUGACAGAUUGAUAGCUCU